rnacentral:tRNA from 1 species
GCCUAGUUAGCUUAGUUGGUAGUGCGUCUGCCUUGUAAACUCUAGACCGCGGGUUCGAUUCCCGCCCGGGGCG